UUGGUUACAAAAACCUCUUCCUUCUUUAAUCCGGUGUCUGAGGAGUUUUGUUUGCGACUCGUCCUGCUACAUUUCUUGGUUCCGUGACCGGGAAGCGAGGUGAUUGAAGGACGGUCGAGGCAGCCCCUUAGGCUGCUUAGGCCUGCCCUGUGGAGCGUCCCUGCAAGGGACUCUGGCCAGCUUGAGCGACGGGCAUCCUGAGAGCGCUCCCGGGUAGGCAAUUGCCCUGGUGGAACACCUCGUCAGAGCAGUGUGUGGCAGGCCCCCGCGGAGGAUCAACGUGGUGGCUGAACACCGGGAAGGAACUGGCACUAGAAGUCUGGACGUCUGAAACUUGAUCCCCUGCCUGCAGCACGUGCUGAUCUCCAAGGGUGAGGCUGGAUGAAGCCAGGGGCUAUGGAAAGGGAGACUGUUUCAGAGGACUUGACACCAUCUUCAGUAAUUUCUCUGGUUCUUGGCAGCUCCAUUUGGCUGCGUCCCUACCCUGCAUAACCCUCCCAGCUAGUCUACUCCAGGGCAGCAUCCAGCUGGUGACCUGAGAGGGCAGUGGCGCACCAGUCUCCAUGAAGGUUGAGCUCCGAUGGCCAACAGCCAUUUCCACCUUGUGGUCUACAACUCUUCAUCCCGACUGCAUGGAGGUUGGUCUCUCUCUUCAGCUGGAUUUAGGCCACCAUCUGAGCCCCCGGGGUACGUUUUGUCUGACCCUGGCGCCAUUCGAACGGUUCUUCUACAGCAUCAGUUCUCUUUCCUGCCACCAUGUGAAGAAGGACAUGUUUGCUUCCCCUUCUGCCAUGAAUGAAAAACAUGGCCAGCAAAGCAGGUGAGGCAAAGAUCAGGAAGGACAUUAAACGCCAAACUAAGGAGCGGAACUGAAUGAGCAGUGAAGGGGAACAAUGGCUUCAGCAGGUCCACUGGGCUCCUCUUUUCUGUCAGCCUCCCCCUACCCCUCACCUCUGUACUACUCAUGUUACUAUCUACGUCUCUUCACCAAUGUCAUUGUGGAAAUAAAAGCUUAUCUGUAAGAGUACU
ensembl:lncRNA PPP1R3B-DT PPP1R3B divergent transcript